rnacentral:rRNA from 1 species
UGGGGAAUAUUGGACAAUGGGGGCAACCCUGAUCCAGCCAUGCCGCGUGUGUGAAGAAGGCCUUCGGGUUGUAAAGCACUUUAAGUGGGGAGAAAGGCUCGGCAGCUAAUAUCUGCCGGGAUUGAUGCUACCCACAGAAUAAGCACCGGCUAACUCUGUGCCAGCAGCCGCGGUAAUACAGAGGGUGCAAGCGUUAAUCGGAAUUACUGGGCGUAAAGCGCGCGUAGGCGGCUGAUUAAGUCGGAUGUGAAAUCCCCGGGCUCAACCUGGGAACUGCAUUCGAUACUGAUCGGCUAGAGUAUGAGAGAGGGAGGUAGAAUUCCACGUGUAGCGGUGAAAUGCGUAGAUAUGUGGAGGAAUACCGGUGGCGAAGGCGGCCUCCUGGCUUAAUACUGACGCUGAGGUGCGAAAGCGUGGGGAGCAAACAGG